rnacentral:rRNA from 1 species
CAAUAGCGUAUAUUUAAGUUGUUGCAGUUAAAAAGCUCGUAGUCGGAUUUUGGCUGAGAACGAACGGUCCGCCGUUAGGUGUGCACUGUUUGGUCUCAGCUUCCUGGUGAGGAGGUGUGCUUCACGGCCACUUAGUCACCGUGGUUACUUUGAAAAAAUUAGAGUGUUCAAAGCGGGCUUACGCUUGAAUAUAUUAGCAUGGAAUAACACCAUAGGACUCCUGUCCUAUUUCGUUGGUCUCGGGACGGGAGUAAUGAUUAAGAGGAACAGUUGGGGGCAUUCGUAUUUCAUUGUCAGGGGUGAAAUUCUUGGAUUUAUGAAAGACGAACUUCUGCGAAAGCAUUUGCCAAGGAUGUUUUCAUUGA